GGGGCGGGGCUAAGCGGCCAUGCUGAGCGGUCGCAUGUGAAACGAGCUCCAUGCAAAAAAGCUCUACACUAGCCAAAAUCAGGGCAAAAACCCAUCAAAAUACGGUUAAGCAACCUGGAGAAGGAAGCCCUAAACUGCAGAGCCAAGCACCAAGCAUCCCGACCGAAAUCAGAGGCUUCUAACCAGGGAUAGACCUGAGGCCCACCAGAGGCCUACUCGGACAAAACGAGGGAGGCGGCCGAUACCUACGCUGACCGCAGCCACUCACCUGGAGGUCUCCCCGGCAAACUCCCUCCCCCCCCGCCGGUGAGGGAUAUCCCGGCAACUACAGCUUGAGACACAUAGGCAAAACUGCAGCGGUGACUGUCCCACACAGCCAGAACAACGCCAGCAAUCAUGGCGAGUAACCCUCUGAACAGCGCCCCGCUGCCCCCUCUGGAAGAAAGGCUGGAUCGCCUGUUUGCCGCCUUUUGGGCUAAAAUAUACCAACAGGGAGACAUAACAGUGGAGACCCCACCAGCAGCAGGCCGGGAAGAGGCCGGGCAGAGACCCGCGGCCCCCUUUCAGGGUAUCGGCAAGGCUGAAAUGGCGGGAAGAAGGAGAUGGACGACUCGACGCAAACCUCGACACCGCAGACCAAGACAAGCAGUGAGUCGUCCUACUCCCCAUCAGUGGCUACCCCUCUGCAGCCUCACCACACUCCCGAAGACCAGUACCCGCCAUGUGGAGAACCCACAUAAGAGUCCACAGAGGCUUAAAAUGGAACCGGACCGUACACCCACAGCGCCACGGAAAACUCCUGCCCACGAGACUGACCUGCCUCACACGCUGAUGAUCAAUGCGGCUCCCAGUCAGACACGCUCUCCAGCUCCAACACCCCUACACAAGCGGGGCAUCGGCUGAAAUGACCACACCAUAGAGGUAUCAGCCCCACACUGCGAGAUGCAGACAGGGUGGAAGAUUGGCGCAGAAGCCGCACAUACUCGCAAGCUGGGACUCUUUCCUGCGAAUACUGAUCUGGUAUUGCCUGACACGCACCCCUAACGUGACUUUGUGUAGCAUCUUAUAAUGUAUAAUGCUCAUCUACUAAACAUGUAUUUUGAUGCAUACUGUGAUAGCUAACGGCCAGGACAGCCUGUACCUUCUAAUCCUGAUAACCUAACACUGACAAACCAUAAUCUUUAACGCAGAUCCAAUGUUGUAUUGGGGCAUUCUGUCC